AAAUUGAAGAGUUUGAUCAUGGCUCAGAUUGAACGCUGGCGGCAGGCCUAACACAUGCAAGUCGAACGGUAGCACAGAGAGCUUGCUCUCGGGUGACGAGUGGCGGACGGGUGAGUAAUGUCUGGGAAACUGCCUGAUGGAGGGGGAUAACUACUGGAAACGGUGGCUAAUACCGCAUAACGUCGCAAGACCAAAGAGGGG
rnacentral:rRNA from 2 species